rnacentral:rRNA from 1 species
GAUAACUCGGUGGCAGAGGCCGGUGGAAGACAGAGGUGGCAAACGGUGGUCGGAAUUACCGGGCAGAAAGCGCACGGGGGGGGUCCGGUAGGUCGCGGGUGAAAGGCCCCGGCUCAACCGGGGAAUUGCGCGCGAUACUGGCGGGCUGGAGGUCGGGAGGGGUGAGGGGAACUCCUGGUGGAGCGGUGAAAUGCGUAGAUAUCAGGAGGAACACCGGUGGCGAAAGCGACUCACUGGCCCGAAUCUGACACUGAGGUGCGAAAGCUAGGGUAACAAACGGGAUUAGAUACCCUUGUAGUC